GAUGAACGCUGGCGGCGUGCCUAAUACAUGCAAGUCGAGCGAACGGACGAGAAUCUUGCUUCUCUGAUGUUAGCAGCGGACGGGUGAGUAACACGUGGAUAACCUACCUAUAAGACUGGGAUAACUUCGGGAAACCGGAGCUAAUACCGGAUAAUAUUUUGAACCGCAUGGUUCAAAAGUGAAAGACGGUCUUGCUGUCACUUAUAGAUGGAUCCGCGCUGCAUUAGCUAGUUGGUAAGGUAACGGCUUACCAAGGCAACGAUGCAUAGCCGACCUGAGAGGGUGAUCGGCCACACUGGAACUGAGGCACGGUCCAGACUCCUACGGGAGGCAGCAGUAGGGAAUCUUCCGCAAUGGGCGAAAGCCUGACGGAGCAACGCCGCGUGAGUGAUGAAGGUCUUCGGAUCGUAAAACUCUGUUAUUAGGGAAGAACAGAUGUGUAAGUAACUGUGCACAUCUUGACGGUACCUAAUCAGAAAGCCACGGCUAACUACGUG
rnacentral:rRNA from 1 species